AUGAAAUCGUGGCGGCAACCCGGCUUCGACGAGACGGAUUCCGUGGUGAUUCAGCAUGGGUGGCGGCAAGCCGGCUUCGACGAGACGGAUUCCGUGGUGAAGCGGAGGGACGAGCCGGCAGCAGUCGGAGCCGGUUCAAGGCGAGGCCAGCUUGGUGCGAGGUCGGCGGCAGAUUUGAAGACGGGGCUGCGAAGGCAGAGGAGCGCCAGCGGCUUCAUUACCGAGGUGACAGCCAGGACCGGCGGCGGUUUAGAGGAAUGCCAGCUCGACGAGCCGCGGCUGAUCAACCGGAGUAGAGGCACGGGUGACUCGAGACGAAAGCAGAGUCUACGUCCAGGCCUCAGUUCUUCUCCGAGUCCUAAUUGUUUUGACUGA
rnacentral:rRNA from 1 species